rnacentral:lncRNA from 1 species
AAUGUAAAUGAAAUAACACACAUGAUGGAUUUAUCAUUUGAAUUGAUAUUCUGGUCUUUCUGGACAAACCACCUCAAUGUAGACUGUCAGAUGCUGUGAACAUUAAAUGUCAGGUUGAAAUUAACUAUCUUAGUAUAGACAAAUUAUGCUUGCUCUUGGUGGGGACCUCCCUUUGAGACAGGAAACUGAGCCUUUGCCCUGAUAAAAGGGCAAGAGUAGGAAAUGCAACUUCUUUUCUUCUUGGGCUCCCUCCCCUCCCCCACCGCAUUCUGCACUUGCUCUCUGGCAGCAGGCGUGUAAGAAUAAAAUGAUGGAGGAAAACAGACUCCAUGCAAGAAAAAUGGAUAGAAGAAAACUGAUACGCUGUGUAAAAUCUGUACAUUCUUGCCUUUGCCUGGGGUGUAGUAUGCCCUUAACAUUAUGUGAGACCUAAACUCACCUGCUAGUAACUUCUAAUUUACUGUCCUAAUUCAUCGAUUUGUUAUCACUAAUUGUACUUCAUUUACUUCUGUGUAGUUUCCAGUACCUAAAGGGUUGAAAGGUUGCUGUAAUUGGCACCCGCAGCUGCUCUUUCUUUUGACAGGGGAUAAUUUUGCAGCCUAUGCUUUGUGUGACAGCUGCCUAAUUGGGCAUUCUCCCCUUGUAGCAAGCCUGCCUCCUCCAGCCUCCCUGCUGACAAAUGGUGGUGGAUUAUAGAUGAGGACAUGCUGACCCAUUCGACCUUGCUGAGACUGCGGGGAGGGGCCUCCUGCUACUUGAGGGAAGCUUUGGGUCAUUUAAAGGACAAGGUCAUGAGCCAGUGGGGAAAUGGCAUGAUAUCACAUGACAAUAGCCUCAUGACACGGUGAAGUGAUGCCCUAAAGCCUUAAGUGGAGGAAAGUAACAUCUCUUUUCAUGCCUCUUGUACCUUCAGUUGAAGAAAAGUAGACUGCUAAGAAUGUUCGAGUUAAUCUAGAGAAUUUUUCUCUGUGUUUGUGUUUACUCCUGUGGCUAUCAUUUGGCAAAGAAAAUAAUUUCAUGGAAGAGUAGCUGGGAACUGCACUGGAUGAACAUUUAUUGUAAGUAGCAAGUAGAGGCUAUCAUGUAGAGUUGAAUUUCCUUCUGUGUCCCACCACUGGAUAACUUGAGAAUAAUGGAAUCUCUUAUUUACAGUUCUGUACUUACAUGUGCAGUUUCUCUGGUUGUCAUCUGAGAUGUAUCAUUGAGAUGAAAGGUGGCUGAACCAACUUCACAUGAAAAAACUAA